GAAUAGUUGAUAUAGGAGUGGAGAAAAGGAGGCCAGGCAAAGAAAAUCUCACAUUAGGAUUACUGUGCUGUGUGCAGAAUGCAAGAGAAGGUGAGAUCCCACAUGGAGAAGCAAACUCGCAAAGCUUCAUGUGUCAUAAGGUCCCUUGGCUAACAUCUCAGAAGACUUUCUCACCUGUUUUCAGACUGACUUUUGCUGUGGAUUCACAAGUCAAAAUAUGUCUUCUCUGAUAUGAAAGUCACAAGAAGUUUUAUCCAUAUUCCCUGGUCUCUGACAUCCUGCCUGCACAUGAAAACCACCAACACAAACCUUCUCUAUCAAGCACCAAUCAAAGUAUGAGUCCAACAAAACAGAGGAAUAUUUUUAAUGCUAUGUUUUCUUGAAAUUUUACUGUUGAAAUGUUUGCUUCUAUUCCUUUUUCCUUCAUUCUGUAGUUUCUGUAUUCUGCAUGUCUGCUCCUGCUUUCUGUUUCUGUAAACCUGAGACAAUAUUUUCCCAAUAAACCACAUAAAACUGGCAUUAAAGGCUCAUGGACAUCUCCUUCUUUCUUUUGUUAUUCUAAUGUGUUUAAAGGAAAGAUGCAAUUAAAUCUAGAAAACUAAUACUCCCUAUGUUUGUUUGUGAUAGAUUUAGAAUAAUCACUAAUAGACCGGGCGCGGUGGCUCACGCCUGUAUUCA